rfam:Azospirillum lipoferum 4B plasmid AZO_p2 complete genome
GAUCAAGCGUCUGAAGGGCAUCUGGUGGAUGCCUUGGCACUGAGAGGCGAUGAAGGACGUAGCACGUUGCGAUAAGUCACGGGGAGCCGCGAGCAGGCAUUGAUCCGUGAAUUUCCGAAUGGGGAAACCCACCGCGUCAAGCGGUAUCCCACACUGAAUCCAUAGGUGUGGGAAGCGAACCCGGCGAACUGAAACAUCUAAGUAGCCGGAGGAAAGGACAUCAACCGAGACUCCGCUAGUAGUGGCGAGCGAACGCGGACCAGGCCAGUCAUUCGAUCUACAUAACCGGAACCGUCUGGAAAGUCGGGCCAUAGCGGGUGAUAGCCCCGUACGGAUAAACCGGAUCGAAUGCUCGAGUAGGGCGGGGCACGUGAAACCCUGUCUGAACAUGGGGGGACCACCCUCCAAGCCUAAGUACUCCUCAGUGACCGAUAGUGCACCAGUACCGUGAGGGAAAGGUGAAAAGCACCCCGACAAGGGGAGUGAAACAGUUCCUGAAACCGGAUGCCUACAAGCAGUCGGAGCCUCUUCAUGGGGUGACGGCGUACCUUUUGUAUAAUGGGUCAGCGACUUAGAGUAUGCAGCGAGCUUAAGCCGGUAGGUGGAGGCGCAGCGAAAGCGAGUCUGAAUAGGGCGACCGAGUUGCAUGCUUUAGACCCGAAACCUGAUGAUCUAGCCAUGGGCAGGUUGAAGGUGCGGUAACACGCACUGGAGGACCGAACUCACGCCUGUUGAAAAAGUCGGAGAUGACCUGUGGCUAGGGGUGAAAGGCCAAUCAAAUCAGGAAAUAGCUGGUUCUCCGCGAAAGCUAUUUAGGUAGCGCGUCGCGUAUUGCCGCGGGGGGUAGAGCACUGGAUGGGCUAGGGGGGCGCGAGCCUUACCAAACCUAACCAAACUCCGAAUACCCGUGAGCAGAGCGCGGCAGACAGACGGUGGGUGCUAAGGUCCAUCGUCGAGAGGGAAACAGCCCAGACCGCCAGCUAAGGUCCCCAAAUCACGGCUAAGUGGGAAAGGAUGUGGGAAGGCCAUGACAACCAGGAGGUUGGCUUAGAAGCAGCCAUCCUUUAAAGAAAGCGUAAUAGCUCACUGGUCUAGUUAAGCCGGCCUGCGCCGAAAAUGUAUCGGGGCUCAAGCCGUGUACCGAAGCUGCGGGUGUGAUCUUCGAUCACGCGGUAGCGGAGCGUUCCGUAAGCCUGCGAAGGGUGUCCGUGAGGCCGCCUGGAGGUAUCGGAAGUGAGAAUGCUGACAUGAGUAGCGACAAACAGUGUGAGAAACACUGUCGCCGAAAGUCCAAGGGUUCCUGCGCAAGGUUAAUCCACGCAGGGUGAGCCGGCCCCUAAGGCGAGGCCGAAAGGCGUAGUCGAUGGGAACCAGGUUAAUAGUCCUGGGCCUGGCGGAGGUGACGGAUGGGAAAGCGUGUAUGUCCUUAUCGGAUUGGACAUGCUGUGGACCUGUUCCAGGAAAUAGCCCCGCCGUAUAGACCGUACCCCAAACCGACACAGGUGGACUGGUAGAGUAUACCCAGGCGCUUGAGAGAAUGGUGUUGAAGGAACUCGGCAAAUUGCCCUCGUAACUUCGGAAGAAGAGGGCCCCGUUGUGGCGCAAGCCAUGGCGGGGGGCACAGACCAGGGGGUAGCGACUGUUUACUAAAAACACAGGGCUCUGCGAAGCCACACAAGGCGACGUAUAGGGUCUGACGCCUGCCCGGUGCCGGAAGGUUAAGAGGAGAGGUGCAAGCCUUGAAUUGAAGCCCCGGUAAACGGCGGCCGUAACUAUAACGGUCCUAAGGUAGCGAAAUUCCUUGUCGGGUAAGUUCCGACCUGCACGAAUGGCGUAACGACUUCCCCGCUGUCUCCAACACCAACUCAGCGAAAUUGAACUCUCCGUGAAGAUGCGGAGUUCCCGCGGUCAGACGGAAAGACCCCGUGCACCUUUACUACAGCUUUGCAGUGGUGCUAGGGACUUCAUGUGUAGGAUAGGUGGGAGGCUUGGAAGCCUGGGCGCCAGCCCGGGUGGAGCCAACCUUGAAAUACCACCCUUGAAGUCUCUGGCAUCUAACCGUGGCCCGUUACCCGGGUCCGGGACCCUGCAUGGCGGGUAGUUUGACUGGGGCGGUCGCCUCCCAAAGUGUAACGGAGGCGCGCGAUGGUGGGCUCAGAGCGGUCGGAAAUCGCUCGUCGAGUGCAAUGGCAUAAGCCCGCCUGACUGCAAGACUGACAAGUCGAGCAGAGACGAAAGUCGGCCAUAGUGAUCCGGUGGCUCCACGUGGACGGGCCAUCGCUCAACGGAUAAAAGGUACGCCGGGGAUAACAGGCUGAUGACUCCCAAGAGUCCAUAUCGACGGAGUCGUUUGGCACCUCGAUGUCGGCUCAUCACAUCCUGGGGCUGGAGCAGGUCCCAAGGGUUCGGCUGUUCGCCGAUUAAAGUGGUACGUGAGCUGGGUUUAGAACGUCGUGAGACAGUUCGGUCCCUAUCUGCCGUGGGUGUCGGAGUUUUGCGAGGAUCUGUCCCUAGUACGAGAGGACCGGGAUGGACAUACCUCUGGUGCACCGGUUGUCACGCCAGUGGCAUGGCCGGGUAGCUAAGUAUGGACGGGAUAACCGCUGAAAGCAUCUAAGCGGGAAACCCACCUCUAAACCAGAGCUCCCUUGAGAGCCGUGACAGACCAUCACGUCGAUAGGAGGCAUGUGGACGGGCAGCAAUGCCUGAAGCUAAGCCUUACUAAUCGCUCGAUCGGCUUGAUCUC